rnacentral:tRNA from 1 species
GGGGGCAUAGCUCAGCUGGGAGAGCGCCUGCCUUGCAAGCAGGAGGUCACGAGUUCGAGCCUCGUUGUCUCCACCA